rnacentral:lncRNA from 1 species
AAUCAGCCCAUCACAAUUCAGCUUAGCCAGAGCCUUCUUCGGCAACACAUUCAACGAGGAGCCGGUAUCAACCAGCACAUGCGAAAGCACGGCUCCUUUGCAUUCCAUUGCUAUGUGCAACGCCCGAUUGUGAUUUCUCCCAUCUACAGUCAGGUCCAUGUCAGUAAAGCCCAACCCAUGGCUGGCAUGCACAUUGGACACGACCGUCUCCAACUGGUUUAUCGUAAUCUCUUGAGGAACAUAGGCUUUCUUCAAGAUUUUCAACAAAGCCUCCCUGUGCCCCUCAGAGCUUAACAGCAAUGAUAAAAUCGAUAUUUUGGAGGGAGUCUGCUGUAGAUGGUCAACCAGUUUGUACUCAGACUUUUUGAUGAUCCUUAAGAAUUCUUCUGCAUCAUCAUCAAUCUUCUCUUCCGACCCCGCAGGCGCCGGUGUCACUACUGGAGUACC